rnacentral:rRNA from 1 species
AUAGCGUAUAUUAAAGUUGUUGCAGUUAAAAAGCUCGUAGUUGAACCUUGGGUCUGGCUGGCCGGUCCGCCUCACCGCGUGCACUGGUCCGGCCGGAUCUUUCCUUCUGGCUAGCCGCAUGCCCUUUACUGGGUGUGUCGGGGAACCAGGACUUUUACUUUGAAAAAAUUAGAGUGUUCAAAGCAGGCAUUAGCUCGAAUACAUUAGCAUGGAAUAAUAGAAUAGGACGUGUGGUUCUAUUUUGUUGGUUUCUAGGACCAUCGUAAUGAUUAAUAGGGAUAGUCGGGGGCAUCAGUAUUCAAUCGUCAGAGGUGAAAUUCUUGGAUCGAUUGAAGACUAACUACUG